GCAUAAUAAUUUGCCUUUUAAUUGGUGGCUGGAAUGAACGGACAAACGAGAAUAAAACUGUCUCUAUAUUUUAAUUUUUUAAACUAACCUUCAGGUGAAGAGGCCUGAUUUCUUCUAUAGGACAAAAAGACCCUGUCAAGCUUUACUGUUACCUUUAUGUCCUAUAUAUAAUGUAAACUUAAUAACUUUAAACUCUCAGUUUAGUUGGGGCGACUAAGGGCCAGAAAAGCGUCCUCUUCCUCCCAAGGAGAAUAACCCAACCAAAUUGAUCCUCCUUAAGACAAAAAGACCAGCUACUGCAGGGAUAACAGGCUAAUUUUUCCUAAGAGUCCAAAUUGAAGGGAAAGUUUGGCACCUCGAUGUUGGCUUAAGACAUCCUUAAAGUGCAGCAGCUUUAAACGGUGGGUUCGUUCACCCCUUAAAGUCU
rnacentral:rRNA from 1 species